ACCUGAGUGGCUCAGUCGGUUGAGCAUCUGACUUCGGCUCAGGUCAUGAUCUCACAGUUUGUGGGUUCGAGCCCCACGUCGGGCU
rnacentral:tRNA from 1 species